UUGUAUUUAUGAUAAACUAUUAUGAUAACAGGAUGUUAUUGUCAUUAAUAUAUUUUCUCUAGGUCUUUUUUGAGUUAUUUAUUUGUAUGUAUUUUUUACUGAUACAUUCUUAAAUACGUUUUACUAAAUAUUUGGUAAUACUUUACAAGAAGUUUCAUUAGUUAAACAUUAGUUAAUUAUUAACUAACAUGAACUAUGAGCAAUACAUUUGUUGCUGUAUUUACUAAUCUUCGCUAAUGUUAGUUAAUGAAAAUACAGUUGUUCAUUGUUUGUUCAUGUUAGUUCACAGUGCAUUAACUAAUGUUAACAAAAUUUUAAUAAUGUAUUAGUAUCUAAGGUUAACUAAUGGACCUUAUUGUAAAGUGUUACCAAAUACUUAAAUACUUUAAAUGCUGACUGGUUCAGGGGGUCAAGAACUUUAGGCAUUUAAGUUAUUUUUCACAUAAAUCUGGUCAGCUUACACACUGCUCAUACUCAGCCUCUAAAAUGUAUGAAUUGAAUCACCAAUACAAUAUCAGGGGUUAAAGAUGUCAUUAGAGUUCUUACAAUUAUGGCUGUGCUCUUGUUACCAGAUGAGAUCUGAUCCCCAGCGUUUGGCGCUGAGAUUCUUCAGGACAAAGGCCUUGAUGCCAUGAAGAUGCCCAUAACUGACAGGCUUUCCUGUGUAAACCAUCAUAUUUAUCCAAAUGAGGGUCUCUGGGAUCCCCAGCUGAAGGCAUGAAGACAUCAGAUCUUGGCCUGGACAGAUGUACCAACAGUACACCACACCGACCUCUGCUUUUGCAUGGAUGGCUGAUUACUACCAUGUUCUGUGAGGGUAUUACUAUAGCAAAACUGAGCACCUGUGACACUGGGAUUUCUAGUUGUAAAGAAUAAUCACACAAUGUUUUUUAGAAGUUGCAAACUUCUCUCUCUUUCUCUCUUACAAACAACACAACAGUUAAACCUUUUCAAAUUCUUUUCUGGUGGUGCACAAGUCCUAUUCUUCGAAACAGAAAUUAAGAUAUUCAUAUGCUCACAUUUAAGCUGCGGACACACUACUUUGAGCAUGCAAAAUUUCUUCAGACACUGUAACUGGCGUGAUAUGACGUCUGCAGAGUCUUUUUAUAAACAUGAAUUCAACAUUUAACAAAUAGUAUAUUCAAAGUAUAAAAAUAUACAGUCUACUCGACUUUACUACGUUUUUUUUUUUUUUUUUAGCCAAGAGGUCACACCUACAUGUAGCGAUUUUGUACUCUUUACACAGUCGUGUGAUGUGAAUUCGCAGGUCAGAGUUCCAAACCAAACUUUUUGCACGAGCUUGCGUUUCUGGUCUCCCGCAUUUGUGUGCAUAUGAAUGGAGGUCAAUGGAAUGAAAAGCGUAGUGUGACCGCACCUUUAUUCUGCAGUUGUGGCACACCUGUAUCAAAAGUGUGAAGUCAUGGACAGAUUUUAUUUGUGAACCGAUAUGCGAGAUCUCACAUAUGACACAAUAGUAUGUCACAUCCCACUCCAACACGUGCUCUAUCCAGUGAUAAACAUGUUCUUGUCGUUAUUAAUCAAUCAGUAAUCAACACAGCACCACCCCGAAAUUGCCUUGCACUGUAGAAUUAUGGUUUUGGCAAGAAAUGAAAAAUAGCCAAUUAUUUAUUAUAAAUGCUACUAUUUUACAAUUAAUAUUUAAGACUAUGUUAGAGAGGGAUAGAAGCCAUUUUUAUGGAUGAUAGGAUUUUUUUCAUUACAGGUCAUUUAUUUGAAUGAUCAGCAAAAAUUUGAGCCUAUGAGUUUAAUAAUUUGAAUUCGUAGAAUAAGAUUAGUACAAAUUUAACUGUUGUGUUUGUGAGAGAGAAAAAGAAAACUACAAGUUUGAAAAUCCUAAUACAUUUUCUCAGUGACUACUGAAAUAUUCUCUACAAAUUCCACUGUCACAGGUGCUCAGUUUUGCUACAAUAAUACUAUAUAUUAUACAGCACAUGCAUAAUUUGAGACAAUAUUCUGAUUCUCAUUUUACCAAUGACAAACCACGUCUAUCUUAUUAACAACUAUUCAUUUUGUGUAUAAUCAAUAUCUAAACAAGUGAUAUUUAGUUGUUAAUGAGGGAUUGACUGGACUCUGCUGACCCAAUCAGUAUUUCUCGUCCAAUGGUCAUACUUUAAUUUUCCGGUUUCUCUAGUAUUGCAUCCUUCUCAUGGGCAUUUCAUGACUUUUCAGUGUGGGUUAAACCUCUUUUUUGGCCCAUAAUAUGUAUUUUUUUAAAAAGUAAUUAAAAAUAGUUUUGUCUAUGCUAUUGAAAUUGUGGGUUACAUCUUUGUCACCUUUUUCACCCAAGGAGUUUACAUUCCUGAUAAUACAAGAGCGAGGAACUUACAUUUUAAUUACAAAGGAAAACCAAUUCAUCUGCUAUAUUCUUCUGUCCUCCAUUUUCAAGGGUAAGAUUUCUUUAUAAACCAUCUACUCACCCAUAUGUCUUUAUUUUCGUGGAACACAAAAGGAGAGAGUCACUUAGUCUCAGUCACCAUUAGAAAAGAAACUGAUAGUGAAUUGUGACUGAGGCUGUCAGUCUCUUGAUGUUCUGCCUUACAUCUCCUUUAGUGCUCCAAUAAAAAUAACAUGUUUGGUACAAAAGAACAUGACCAGUUUUGUUCAUGAGUAAAUAUUGCUUUUAAUUUUUUAACUUGAGACUGUUUAGCCUGUAAUUUUCUGUAUACCUCUGCGUGUAUCUGAAUGUAAAUGCCUUCUCUAUUAGUCAUAUUGACGGGUUGUAUAUAGGAGGAUGUAUGCCUUAAACAUGCAGGCUAUCUGUAACUGUAUUUUGUAAAUAUUAAAACAAUGUUAACUGAA